rnacentral:rRNA from 1 species
GUGGCGCACGGGUGAGUAAUGUAUAGGUAAUAUGCCUCUUACUAAGGGAUAACAAAUGGAAACGUUUGCUAAUACCUUAUACUCCUUAUUAACCUAAGUUAAUAAGGGAAAGAUUUAUUGGCAAGAGAUUAGCCUGUAUUGUAUCAGUUAGUUGGUGGGGUAAUGGCCUACCAAGACUAUGACACAUAACUGGUUUGAGAGGAUGAUCAGUCACACUGGAACUGAGACACGGUCCAGACUCCUACGGGAGGCAGCAGUGGGGAAUAUUGCACAAUGGACGAAAGUCUGAUGCAGCAACGCCGCGUGGAGGAUGACACCUUUCGGUGCGUAAACUCCUUUUAUAUGAGAAGAUGAUGACGGUAUUAUAUGAAUAAGCACCGGCUAACUCCGUGCCAGCAGCCGCGGUAAUACGGGGGGUGCAAGCGUUACUCGGAAUCACUGGGCGUAAAGAGCAUGUAGGCGGAUUAAUAAGUUUGAAGUGAAAUCCUAUA